rnacentral:rRNA from 1 species
AACGAACGCUGGCGGCAUGCCUAACACAUGCAAGUCGAACGAAGUCUUCGGACUUAGUGGCGCACGGGUGCGUAACGCGUGGGAAUCUGCCCUUGGGUACGGAAUAACUCAGAGAAAUUUGUGCUAAUACCGUAUAAUGUCUUCGGACCAAAGAUUUAUCGCCCAAGGAUGAGCCCGCGUAAGAUUAGCUAGUUGGUGGGGUAAAAGCCUACCAAGGCGACGAUCUUUAGCUGGUCUGAGAGGAUGAUCAGCCACACUGGGACUGAGACACGGCCCAGACUACUACGGGAGGCAGCAGUGGGGAAUAUUGGACAAUGGGCGAAAGCCUGAUCCAGCAAUGCCGCGUGAGUGAUGAAGGCCCUAGGGUUGUAAAGAUCUUUUACCAGGGAUGAUAAUGACAGUACCUGGAGAAUAAGCACCGGCUAACUCCGUG